CAGGCCUAACACAUGCAAGUCGAGCGGAUGAGAAGAGCUUGCUCUUCGAUUCAGCGGCGGACGGGUGAGUAAUGCCUAGGAAUCUGCCUGGUAGUGGGGGACAACGUUUCGAAAGGAACGCUAAUACCGCAUACGUCCUACGGGAGAAAGCAGGGGACCUUCGGGCCUUGCGCUAUCAGAUGAGCCUAGGUCGGAUUAGCUAGUUGGUGAGGUAAUGGCUCACCAAGGCGACGAUCCGUAACUGGUCUGAGAGGAUGAUCAGUCACACUGGAACUGAGACACGGUCCAGACUCCUACGGGAGGCAGCAGUGGGGAAUAUUGGACAAUGGGCGAAAGCCUGAUCCAGCCAUGCCGCGUGAGUGAAGAAGGUCUUCGGAUUGUAAAGCACUUUAAGUUGGGAGGAAGGGCAUUAACCUAAUACGUUAGUGUUUUGACGUUACCGACAGAAUAAGCACCGGCUAACUCUGUGCCAGCAGCCGCGGUAAUACAGAGGGUGCAAGCGUUAAUCGGAAUUACUGGGCGUAAAGCGCGCGUAGGUGGUUUGUUAAGUUGGAUGUGAAAGCCCCGGGCUCAACCUGGGAACUGCAUCCAAAACUGGCAAGCUAGAGUACGGUAGAGGGUGGUGGAAUUUCCUGUGUAGCGGUGAAAUGCGUAGAUAUAGGAAGGAACACCAGUGGCGAAGGCGACCACCUGGACUGAUACUGACACUGAGGUGCGAAAGC
rnacentral:rRNA from 1 species